rnacentral:rRNA from 1 species
GCAUAUCAAUAAGCGGAGGAAAAGAAACUAACAAGGAUUCCCCUAGUAACUGCGAGUGAAGCGGGAAGAGCUCAAAUUUAAAAUCUGGUAGUCUUUGGCUGCCCGAGUUGUAAUCUAGAGAAGCGUUAUCCGCGCUGGACCGUGUAUAAGUCUCCUGGAAUGGAGCGUCAUAGAGGGUGAGAAUCCCGUCUUUGACACGGACUACCAGGGCUUUGUGAUGCGCUCUCAAAGAGUCGAGUUGUUUGGGAAUGCAGCUCUAAAUGGGUGGUAAAUUCCAUCUAAAGCUAAAUAUUGGCGAGAGACCGAUAGCGAACAAGUACCGUGAGGGAAAGAUGAAAAGAACUUUGGAAAGAGAGUUAAACAGUACGUGAAAUUGUUGAAAGGGAAACGCUUGAAGUCAGUCACGUUGGCUAGGAAUCAGCCUUGCUUUUGCUUGGUGUAUUUCCUGGUUUUAACGGGUCAGCAUCAAUUUUGACCGGUGGAAAAAGGUCGAGGGAAUGUGGCAUCUUAGGAUGUGUUAUAGCCCUUGGUCGUAUACAUCGGUUGGGAUUGAGGAACUCAGCACGCCGAAAGGUCGGGUUUUCUAACCACGUUCGUGCUUAGGAUGCUGGCAUAAUGGCUUUAAUCGACCCGUCUUGAAACACGGACCAAGGAGUCUAACAUGCCUGCGAGUGUUUGGGUGGAAAACCCGAGCGCGUAAUGAAAGUGAAAGUUGAGAUCCCUGUCGUGGGGAGCAUCGACGCCCGGACCAGACCUUUUGUGACGGAUCCGCGGUAGAGCAUGUAUGUUGGGACCCGAAAGAUGGUGAACUAUGCCUGAAUAGGGUGAAGCCAGAGGAAACUCUGGUGGAGGCUCGUAGCGAUUCUGACGUGCAAAUCGAUCGUCAAAUUUGGGUAUAGGG